rnacentral:rRNA from 1 species
ACGAACGCUGGCGGCGUGCUUAACACAUGCAAGUCGAACGGAAAGGCCCUGCUUUUGUGGGGUGCUCGAGUGGCGAACGGGUGAGUAACACGUUAGUAACCUGCCCUUGACUUUGGGAUAACUUCAGGAAACUGGGGCUAAUACCGGAUAGGAGCUCCUGCUGCAUGGUGGGGGUUGGAAAGUUUCGGCGGUUGGGGAUGGACUCGCGGCUUAUCAGCUUGUUGGUGGGGUAGUGGCUUACCAAGGCUUUGACGGGUAGCCGGCCUGAGAGGGUGACCGGCCACAUUGGGACUGAGAUACGGCCCAGACUCCUACGGGAGGCAGCAGUGGGGAAUAAUGCACAAUGGGCGGAAGCCUGAUGCAGCAACGCCGCGUGCGGGAUGACGGCCUUCGGGUUGUAAACCGCUUUCGCCUGUGACGAAGCGUGAGUGACGGUAAUGGGUAAAGAAGCACCGGCUAACUACGUG